rnacentral:rRNA from 1 species
CAAAAACAUGUCCUUUUGAUAAUUUUUAUAAGGUCUAACCUGCCCAAUGAGUAAUUGAAUGGCCGCGGUAUUUUAACCGUGCUAAGGUAGCAUAAUCAUUUGUCUUUUAAUUGAGGGCUGGAAUGAAUGGUUGGACGAGAUAUUAACUUUCUUUAACUUAUCAUUAGAAUUUAAUUUUUAAGUUAAAAAGCUUAAAUUUUUUUAUAAGACGAGAAGACCCUAUAGAUCUUUAUAAUUUUUUGUAUUUAAGAUUUUGGUGUAUUAUAGCUUGUAUUUAAUAAAUUAUUUUAUUGGGGUGAUUGUAGAAUUUAAUUAACUUCUAUUUUUUAGUUUCAUUAAUUAGUGUGUUUUUGAUCCAUGUUUUAUGAUUAAAAGAUUAAGUUACCUUAGGGAUAACAGCGUAAUUUUUUCGGAGAGUUCAUAUUGAUGAAGGAGUUUGCGACCUCGAUGUUGGAUUAAAAUAAGUAAUAGAUGCAGAAGUUUAUUUACUAGGUCUGUUCGACCUUUAAUUUUUUACAUGAUCUGA